rnacentral:rRNA from 1 species
GACGAACGCUGGCGGCGUGCUUAACACAUGCAAGUCGAACGGAAAGGCCCUGCUUUUGUGGGGUGCUCGAGUGGCGAACGGGUGAGUAACACGUGAGUAACCUGCCCUUGACUUUGGGAUAACUUCAGGAAAGUGGGGCUAAUACCGGAUAGGAGCUCCUGCUGCAUGGUGGGGGUUGGAACGUUUCGGCGGUUGGGGAUGGACUCGCGGAUUAUGAGCUUGUUGGUGGGUAGUGGCUUACCAAGGCUUUGCCGGGGAGCCGGCCUGAGAGGGGGACCGGCCACAAGGGGACUGAGAGACGGCCCAGACUCCUACGGGAGGCAGCAGUGGGGAAUAUUGCACAAUGGGCGGAAGCCUGAUGCAGCAACGCCGCGUGCGGGAUGACGGCCUUCGGGUUGUAAACCGCAUUCGCCUGUGACGAAGCGGGAGUGACGGUAAUGGGUAAAGAAGCACCGGCUAACUACGUG